rnacentral:rRNA from 1 species
UACGUAGGGUGCAAGCGUUGUCCGGAAUUAUUGGGCGUAAAGAGCUCGUAGGCGGUCUGUUACGUCGGCUGUGAAAACCUGGGGCUCAACUCCGGGCCUGCAGCCGAUACGGGCAGACUAGAGUUCGGCAGGGGAGACUGGAAUUCCUGGUGUAGCGGUGAAAUGCGCAGAUAUCAGGAGGAACACCGGUGGCGAAGGCGGGUCUCUGGGCCGAAACCGACGCUGAGGAGCGAAAGCGUGGGGACGAAACAGG